GUGCGCUACCUGUUCUAGUGAUGUUGCCAAAUUAGACUCAACGGCACAACACAAUUGAGUGAUUACUUCGCAAAUUUCUUUUUUAUUUUGACUGUAAAUAAUCGUUGUGCUGGUUUUAUUAUUUUCCGCUAAUUUGAAACAUCUAUCAACUGCAUCCAAGUUAUAUUUGGAUGUUGGUGUCAUAAUGAAAUGGAUGAAAAGUUUCAGAGUUUCUAACCAGACGCAGCCGGAAUUUACUUUGCCAAUAGCCUCUAAAGUACAUAAUAACGUCUCUUGCAAUACGGAGAAUCGAAAUCAACAAAGCGAAUGCAGCAGUUGAAAAUAGAUCCAAAAAUGGUCAAUUAUCUGGGAGAAGAAGGCAAGAUUUGGAUAUGGGAGUUGAUGAAGGAAACUUGGAGAUCAGAAACAUUAUCGCAAGAAUGAGAGGAGAAUUUGCUAGUUCCAAUCAGAAAAACUACAAGCCUAACUUCGGUGUUCUAUAAGAUAUACAUUAGGAUAAUUGUAGUGAUCAUUUGAAUUUUAAUGAUUCGUUGGCUAUAUAUAAUUGAUAUUAAUUAUAUACUCACAUAGCAAAAAGUGACAAUUGGUUCAAUAA